rnacentral:rRNA from 1 species
CCCGGCCGUAAACGAUGGACGCUAGGUGUGGGGGGAUGCUCCCUCCGUGCCGCAGCCAACGCAUUAAGCGUCCCGCCUGGGGAGUACGGCCGCAAGGCUAAAACUCAAAGGAAUUGACGGGGGCCCGCACAAGCAGCGGAGCAUGUGGCUUAAUUCGAAGCAACGCGAAGAACCUUACCAGCGCUUGACAUGACCGUGAAGCCGGGGAGACCCGGUGGCCGAGAGGAGCGGUCACAGGUGGUGCAUGGCUGU